UGGCCGUCCAAGAAGAAAACGUAGCCAUUGGUGCCAUCUAUCGACCACAGGUUAAAGAUUGGCGAUCCGUUGGAUACCGACCGAGUUAUAGGCAAAAGUUGGUGCAAAAAUGAGGAAAAUCUUCAUUUUUUUUAAUUUUUUGAUUUUUUUAUUAUUUUUCAUUCUUUUUUUUAUUUCAAGCAUUAUUAGAGUGAAAAGAAACUCAUUGCAACCCAUUGGCAUUAAAAUAAAACAAUUUAAUUUUUUUUGCAAAAUUUCCCAAAAAAAUCGUAAGGGGUAAGCCUUAUGAAAUUUUCGAGUGGAAAAUUUUUUUGAAAUUUUUUUCUGAUUUUUUAUUCUUUUUUUAAUUUAAAGCACUAUUUUAGUGAAAAGAAACUUAUUGCAACAAAUUCCCAUCAAAAUAUAUCACAUUUAAAAUUUUUGCUACAUUGCUCAAAAAUGAGGAAAAUUUUACAUUUUCUCAAACAGAGUAAGGAACUUGAUUCCUCGAAUAAUUUCUGGCACAGACAUCUAAGGGCAUGGCUGUCCAAGAAGAAAAUGUAGCCAUUGGUGCCAUCUACCGACCACAGGUUAAAGUUUGGCGAUCCGUUGGAUACCGACCGAGUUAUAGGCAAAACUUGGUGCAAAAAUGAAGAAAAUUUUACAUUUUCUCAAACAGGGUAUGGAACUUGGUUCCUCGAAUAACUUCUGGCACAGACAUCUGAGGGCAUACCCGUCCAAGAAGAAAAUGUAGCCAUUGGUGCCAUCUAUCGACCACAGGUUAAAGAUUGGCGAUUCGUUGGAUACCGACCGAGUUAUAGGCAAAAUUUGGUGCAAAAAUGAGGAAAAUUUUACAUUUUCUCAAACAGGGUAAGGAACUUGAUUCCUCGAAUAAUUUCUGGCACAGACAUCUAAGGGCAUGGCUGUCCAAGAAGAAAAUGUAGCCAUUGGUGCCAUCUAUCGACCACAGGUUAAAGUUUGGCGAUCCGUUGGAUACCGACCGAGUUAUAGGCAAAACUUGGUGCAAAAAUGAAGAAAAUUUUACAUUUUCUCAAACAGGGUAUGGAACUUGGUUCCUCGAAUAACUUCUGGCACAGACAUCUGAGGGCAUGGCUCUCCAAGAAGAAAAUGUAGCCAUUGGUGCCAUCUAUCGACCACAGGUUAAAGAUUGGCGAUUCGUUGGAUACCGACCGAGUUAUAGGCAAAAUUUGGUGCAAAAAUGAGGAAAAUCUACUUUUUUUUGUUAAUUUUUUGAUUUUUUUAUUAUUUUUCAUUCUUUUUUUUAUUUCAAGCAUUAUUAGAGUGCAAAGAAACUCAUUGCAACCCAUUGGCAUUAAAAUAAAACAAUUUAAUUUUUUUUGCAAAAUUUCCCAAAAAAAUCGUAAGGGGUAAGCCUUAUGAAAUUUUCGAGUGGAAAAUUUUUUUGAAAUUUUUUUCUGAUUUUUUAUUCUUUUUUUAAUUUAAAGCACUAUUUUAGUGAAAAGAAACUUAUUGCAACAAAUUCCCAUCAAAAUAUAUCACAUUUAAAAUUUUUGCUACAUUGCUCAAAAAUGAGGAAAAUUUUACAUUUUCUCAAACAGGGUAAGGAACUUGAUUCCUCGAAUAACUUCUGGCACAGACAUCUAAGGGCAUGGCUGUCCAAGAAGAAAAUGUAGCCAUUGGUGCCAUCUACCGACCACAGGUUAAAGUUUGGCGAUCCGUUGGAUACCGACCGAGUUAUAGGCAAAACUUGGUGCAAAAAUGAGGAAAAUUUUACAUUUUCUCAAACAGGGUAUGGAACUUGGUUCCUCGAAUAACUUCUGGCACAGACAACUAAGGGUAUGGCCGUCCUAGAAGAAAAUGUAGCCAUUGCUGCCAUCUAUCGACCACA